UACGGAGGGGGCUAGCGUUGUUCGGAAUUACUGGGCGUAAAGCGCACGUAGGCGGCUUUGCAAGUUAGAGGUGAAAGCCCGGGGCUUAACCCCGGAAUUGCCUUUAAAACUGCAUCGCUAGAAUUGUGGAGAGGUGAGUGGAAUUCCGAGUGUAGAGGUGAAAUUCGUAGAUAUUCGGAAGAACACCAGUGGCGAAGGCGACUCACUGGACACAUAUUGACGCUGAGGCGCGAAAGCGUGGGGAGCAAACAGG
rnacentral:rRNA from 1 species